rnacentral:rRNA from 1 species
CCUACGGGUGGCAGCAGUGGGGAAUAUUGGACAAUGGCGAAAGCCUGAUCCAGCCAUGCCGCGUGUGUGAAGAAGGCCUUCGGGUUGUAAAGCACUUUCAGUGGGGAAGAAAGCCUUGGGGCUAAUACCCUCGAGGAAGGACAUCACCCACAGAAGAAGCACCGGCUAACUCCGUGCCAGCAGCCGCGGUAAUACGGAGGGUGCGAGCGUUAAUCGGAAUUACUGGGCGUAAAGCGCGCGUAGGCGGUCUGAUAAGCCGGUUGUGAAAGCCCCGGGCUCAACCUGGGAACGGCAUCCGGAACUGUCAGGCUAGAGUGCAGGAGAGGAAGGUAGAAUUCCCGGUGUAGCGGUGAAAUGCGUAGAGAUCGGGAGGAAUACCAGUGGCGAAGGCGGCCUUCUGGACUGACACUGACGCUGAGGUGCGAAAGCGUGGGUAGCAAACAGGAUUAGAUACCCUGGUAGUC